rnacentral:rRNA from 1 species
UACGAAGGGGGCGAGCGUUGUUCGGAAUUACUGGGCGUAAAGGGCGCGUAGGCGGCCGAGCAAGUUAGAUGUGAAAGUCCUGGGCUUAACCUGGGGACUGCAUUUGAUACUGCUUGGCUUGAAUUCGGGAGAGGAUAGCGGAAUUCCCAGUGUAGAGGUGAAAUUCGUAGAUAUUGGGAAGAACACCGGUGGCGAAGGCGGCUAUCUGGACCGACAUUGACGCUGAGGCGCGAAAGCGUGGGGAGCAAACAGGG